AAGGCAGGAAAACAGAGGAAGUUUUCGCAUUCUGACUGCAGCCUGAGUUCCCCGGAGCAAGGCUGCUUCUCUCCACCCACUCCUCACCAAGAACUCCUGAACUUGAGAGUGGACGACUUCAAAGCUAGCUCUCACAGACUCACCUGGAAAAGAGUUCAGCUGCGCGUUCAUUGAACCGAGAGGCCAGAUCACCUAUGUGAGGCGGUGGGAACCAUAUGGAGAUUUAUAUUAGAACUUCAGCAAAGUGCACAGCUGCAGCCGGCAGAAGCCAGCUCUCGGGCUGACAGGCAAAUGAACCAGAUCGUGGACGGGGCCUCUGGGUGGCAGCUCCGGCCUUUUGGUUGUUGGACAACUAUAGUCAGAACUGAAAUGGAACAGGGGCAGGAGAAAUAACACACUUUUACUCCACGCAACUGUUGCUUUCACAUGAUCUUCAGGAAUGUAACUGGGAUAAUUGUCCAAAUUGAAUCCCAUACCCUGUCAUGGGAAUCUUGAGGAACCCAUUAAUGUAAAGCUGCGGCCAGAGUUCCAUGAGGAGGCAGAAUGUUCUAGAUGAUCCCUGUCUCUUCUCCAUUGAGGAAGUCGUUUCUUGCCUCUCUGUAAGCUCAGUUAAUCAUACCAGAAUAGGAGUCCUGUCUUAACUGAGCAAUAUACACUAUGGAGAGAUCCUUCAAAACCCGUCGGGACGAAUAACAGAUGAAUUCAUAAAACUGUUCAUCUCUGUUAUCCUGAAUGGUCACUCAGACAACAUUUUACUCAACUAUAAAGGGGAACACUUAAAGUGCAUAUGAGAAGAGAAGAGAAUGACCACAGGAGAAAAUCAUCUCAGGCCACGAUUUCCUAACCAGAAUCUGUAAGAGAGAUUCCAAGAACUUGGUAAGAGAUAGGAACACAGUGGGGCCUAAACAGAGGACAGUUUCUGUAAUCACUUGUAAUAUCUAUAAUGUUAUACUAGAUGAAUGGAAAUAUGAGCAUUGUUGAAAGGUGUAAUGUUUCAAAGUUUUACAAAUGAAUUUUAUAUUAAAAUAUAAGCUAUAUUGA
rnacentral:lncRNA from 1 species